GCCUACAGCCAACACUCUGCAUGUACCUGAUUCUGUCUGAUCUCAGAAGCUAAGGAGCAGUGGGCCUGGUUAGUUCUUAGAUGGAAGACAUCUGUAGAUGCUCCAUUUUAGGCA
rnacentral:rRNA from 14 species